UACGUAGGGUGCGAGCGUUGUCCGGAAUUAUUGGGCGUAAAGAGCUUGUAGGCGGUCUGUCGCGUCUGCUGUGAAAAUCCGGGGCUCAACCCCGGACUUGCAGUGGGUACGGGCAGACUAGAGUGUGGUAGGGGAGACUGGAAUUCCUGGUGUAGCGGUGAAAUGCGCAGAUAUCAGGAGGAACACCGGUGGCGAAGGCGGGUCUCUGGGCCGAUACUGACGCUGAGGAGCGAAAGCGUGGGGGAGCGAACAGG
rnacentral:rRNA from 1 species